UACAGAGGUCUCAAGCGUUGUUCGGAUUCAUUAGGCGUAAAGGGUGCGUAGGCGGCGCGGUAAGUCGGGUGUGAAAUCUUGGAGCUUAACUCCGAAACUGCAUUCGAUACUGCCGUGCUUGAGGACUGGAGAGGAGACUGGAAUUUACGGUGUAGCGGUGAAAUGCGUAGAUAUCGUAAGGAAGACCAGUGGUGAAGGCGGGUCUCUGGACAGUUCCUGACGCUGAAGCACGAAGGCCAGGGGAGCAAACGGG
rnacentral:rRNA from 1 species